ACCCUCAAACCAACAUUAUCUGGUCAUUGCGGAAGUGCUAUUGCAACCAACAGCCUAAUCAUCCGCGCGAUAUAUUAAAAUACAAAAUAUUAAAUAUAAAUAUUUAGUAAAUAUACUUCAGAAUCUAUUGAAGUAUGGAAAAAGGCGGUGGAGUAUGUAAUCUCAUCUCAUUUUCAGGGCGCACAGAGGAUCUGCACUGCGUAAAAGAGGGCUUUUUUCGGAUAUUAAUAUCCGAGUUGAAAGCUCCGUCUUCCAAUGCCACAAGAUUGUUUUGGCUUCGGCAUCCGAGUUUUUUGAAAUAUUAUUACAGAAAGAGGGUUUAAAAACGGGGGAAGUGAUAUUGCAGGAUACAACACCACAAGUUUUUGAAAUAUUUCUUGAUUUCAUAUACACAAAAGAUAAGUGUCCAUUGAAGCAAACCAAACCGUACGUAUUGCUGUCGCUUUUAAAGUGUGCAAAUAUGUGGCUGGCAUGCGAAGUUCAGCAAGUAUGUGAGUCAACUCUCUUAGGAAGUAGUAUGGCACCAAAGGAAUGGAUUCAACUUUAUGCCGUAUCAUUUCUUCUGGACAAUAAAUUGUUAAUGUCGCACGCCAUUCAGUUAUUACAACGUCAAAACCAUUUCGACUGUCCGGAAUUUAUGGAAUUGGAAUUGCACUGCUUCGUAGAGUAUUUUUCGUGUACGAAGGAUUUGGAUCAAUUGAAGCGCUUUACUAUGUUAGAUAUGUGGUUACAAAAAAAUAUUCCAAAAGAACAUAGGGUUUUACACAUGAAUAAUGGAAACAUUGUACGAAAACGUAGUCCAAGUUCAACCACAACGGAUCACGAUAAGAUUACUGUUCUUCUGGAUAGCAUUGACUUUGAGAGAAUGUCUUUGGAUGAUUUUUAUAAAGGCCCUGCAAAGUCGAAUCUUUUGACAGAAUCUGCCAAAAUUGAAUUAAUGUAUAAAAUGGCUAAAAGAGGCCACCCUCACAAUAGAUGCUAUCGGAACCAACAUUUUUAAAAUUAAAAUUUAGCUUUCAUUCUGAUUUCUCUUUCUUCUUCUCUUUAAAAAAAACAAUAAGGGAGAUUAUUUUGUCCGAAGAAAAUUAUUUGUUUCCUUGUGUUUUAGUAUACCAUUUCGUUAAGACUUAACUUACUCUUCGAGUAAAAAGGUAUAUUGUAUUCGUUCAAAAAUAUAAAUAAAAAAUA